rnacentral:rRNA from 2 species
GAUUCGUCACACUAUCAUUAACUGAAUCCAUAGGUUAAUGAGGCGAACCGGGGGAACUGAAACAUCUAAGUACCCCGAGGAAAAGAAAUCAACCGAGAUUCCCCCAGUAGCGGCGAGCGAACGGGGAGGAGCCCAGAGCCUGAAUCAGCAUGUGUGUUAGUGGAAGCGUCUGGAAAGGCGCGCGAUACAGGGUGACAGCCCCGUACACAAAAGCGCAUGUGCUGUGAGCUCGAUGAGUAGGGCGGGACACGUGGUAUCCUGUCUGAAUAUGGGGGGACCAUCCUCCAAGGCUAAAUACUCCUGACUGACCGAUAGUGAACCAGUACCGUGAGGGAAAGGCGAAAAGAACCCCGGCGAGGGGAGUGAAAAAGAACCUGAAACCGUGUACGUACAAGCAGUGGGAGCACCCUUCGGGGUGUGACUGCGUACCUUUUGUAUAAUGGGUCAGCGACUUAUAUUCUGUAGCAAGGUUAACCGUAUAGGGGAGCCGGAGGGAAACCGAGUCUUAAUUGGGCGUUAAGUUGCAGGGUAUAGACCCGAAACCCGGUGAUCUAGCCAUGGGCAGGUUGAAGGUUGGGUAACACUAACUGGAGGACCGAACCGACUAAUGUUGAAAAAUUAGCGGAUGACCUGUGGCUGGGGGUGAAAGGCCAAUCAAACCGGGAGAUAGCUGGUUCUCCCCGAAAGCUAUUUAGGUAGCGCCUCGUGAAUUCAUCUCCGGGGGUAGAGCACUGUUUCGGCUAGGGGGCCAUCCCGGCUUACCAACCCGAUGCAAACUGCGAAUACCGGAGAAUGUUAUCACGGGAGACACACGGCGGGUGCUAACGUCCGUCGUGAAGAGGGAAACAACCCAGACCGCCAGCUAAGGUCCCAAAGUCAUGGUUAAGUGGGAAACGAUGUGGGAAGGCCCAGACAGCCAGGAUGUUGGCUUAGAAGCAGCCAUCAUUUAAAGAAAGCGUAAUAGCUCACUGGUCGAGUCGGCCUGCGCGGAAGAUGUAACGGGGCUAAACCAUGCACCGAAGCUGCGGCAGCGAACGUAUCACCCAAGACAACUUUACGGAGUUGACGAUUGACGGAGCGAAGCGACGUCAAAGCGUUCAUUAAAGUCGAGUUGGCUUAGGGAUACGUUCGUUGGGUAGGGGAGCGUUCUGUAAGCCUGUGAAGGUGUGUCGUGAGGCAUGCUGGAGGUAUCAGAAGUGCGAAUGCUGACAUAAGUAACGAUAAAGCGGGUGAAAAGCCCGCUCGCCGGAAGACCAAGGGUUCCUGUCCAACGUUAAUCGGGGCAGGGUGAGUCGACCCCUAAGGCGAGGCCGAAAGGCGUAGUCGAUGGGAAACGGGUUAAUAUUCCCGUACUUGGUGUUACUGCGAAGGGGGGACGGAGAAGGCUAUGUUGGCCGGGCGACGGUUGUCCCGGUUUAAGCGUGUAGGUGUGUGUUCCAGGUAAAUCCGGUUCACUUUAACACUGAGGCGUGACGACGAGGCACUACGGUGCUGAAGCAACAAAUGCCCUGCUUCCAGGAAAAGCCUCUAAGCAUCAGGUAACAUCAAAUCGUACCCCAAACCGACACAGGUGGUCAGGUAGAGAAUACCAAGGCGCUUGAGAGAACUCGGGUGAAGGAACUAGGCAAAAUGGUGCCGUAACUUCGGGAGAAGGCACGCUGACACGUAGGUGAAGUGAUUUACUCAUGGAGCUGAAGUCAGUCGAAGAUACCAGCUGGCUGCAACUGUUUAUUAAAAACACAGCACUGUGCAAACACGAAAGUGGACGUAUACGGUGUGACGCCUGCCCGGUGCCGGAAGGUUAAUUGAUGGGGUCAGCGCAAGCGAAGCUCCUGAUCGAAGCCCCGGUAAACGGCGGCCGUAACUAUAACGGUCCUAAGGUAGCGAAAUUCCUUGUCGGGUAAGUUCCGACCUGCACGAAUGGCGUAAUGAUGGCCAGGCUGUCUCCACCCGAGACUCAGUGAAAUUGAACUCGCUGUGAAGAUGCAGUGUACCCGCGGCAAGACGGAAAGACCCCGUGAACCUUUACUAUAGCUUGACACUGAACAUUGAGCCUUGAUGUGUAGGAUAGGUGGGAGGCUUUGAAGUGUGGACGCCAGUCUGCAUGGAGCCGACCUUGAAAUACCACCCUUUAAUGUUUGAUGUUCUAACGUGGACCCGUAAUCCGGGUUGCGGACAGUGUCUGGUGGGUAGUUUGACUGGGGCGGUCUCCUCCUAAAGAGUAACGGAGGAGCACGAAGGUUGGCUAAUCCUGGUCGGACAUCAGGAGGUUAGUGCAAUGGCAUAAGCCAGCUUGACUGCGAGCGUGACGGCGCGAGCAGGUGCGAAAGCAGGUCAUAGUGAUCCGGUGGUUCUGAAUGGAAGGGCCAUCGCUCAACGGAUAAAAGGUACUCCGGGGAUAACAGGCUGAUACCGCCCAAGAGUUCAUAUCGACGGCGGUGUUUGGCACCUCGAUGUCGGCUCAUCACAUCCUGGGGCUGAAGUAGGUCCCAAGGGUAUGGCUGUUCGCCAUUUAAAGUGGUACGCGAGCUGGGUUUAGAACGUCGUGAGACAGUUCGGUCCCUAUCUGCCGUGGGCGCUGGAGAACUGAGGGGGGCUGCUCCUAGUACGAGAGGACCGGAGUGGACGCAUCACUGGUGUUCGGGUUGUCAUGCCAAUGGCACUGCCCGGUAGCUAAAUGCGGAAGAGAUAAGUGCUGAAAGCAUCUAAGCACGAAACUUGCCCCGAGAUGAGUUCUCCCUGAGACUUAG